GAAGCAGCCUUCUUCCUUCUCUUGUCCAUGCUUGUUUUGUUGCCAGCACACAUUGAGAAGUGACACCUUCAGCACAUUUAAGUACCUGCAGUGGUGAGAGCUUUAUAUCGUAUGACUCAGAGGGUCAGUUUACUGGAAGACGUGUGUGUGUGCUGGAUGAAAAUCUGAUUUCGUUUCUGCCGCUUCUGUGUGCCUGGAAUGUAAUUGUUUUGGCUUAGGACCUUCCAGGUUUGGUUUAAUUCUUAACCACAUACGUUUUGGAUGUCGACCUGCUUAAAACUCUGUAUUGAUAUAAAUAAACGGUGUCAGAGCCCAGGGUGACCUUUCAUACACUUUGGGGUUUCUGUGCCCGGUGACCAUG